CCUACUUGUGUCCGCCGUUAUGAAUAUUGUUCCCUGGACGGCCGUCUGAACCAGCCAUGCCGCGUGCAGGAAGACGGCUCUAUGAGUUGUAAACUGCUUUUGUACAAGGGUAAACCUGAAUACGUGUAUUCAGCUGAAAGUACUGUACGAAUAAGGAUCGGCUAACUCCGUGCCAGCAGCCGCGGUAAUACGGAGGAUCCAAGCGUUAUCCGGAUUUAUUGGGUUUAAAGGGUGCGUAGGCGGAUUGAUAAGUUAGAGGUGAAAUGUCCGAGCUUAACUCGGGAACUGCCUCUAAUACUGUUGAUCUAGAGAGUAGAUGCGGUAGGCGGAAUGUAUGGUGUAGCGGUGAAAUGCUUAGAGAUCAUACAGAACACCGAUUGCGAAGGCAGCUUACCAAUCUAUAUCUGACGUUGAGGCACGAAAGCGUGGGGAGCAAACAGGAUUAGAUACCCCGGUAGUC
rnacentral:rRNA from 1 species